ACUCCUACGGGAGGCAGCAGUAGGGAAUAUUGGGCAAUGGCCGAGAGGCUGACCCAGCCAUGCCGCGUGCAGGAAGAAGGCCUUCUGGGUUGUAAACUGCUUUUAUCUGGGAAGAAAACGCCCCUGCGGGGGUAACUGACGGUACCAGAUGAAUAAGCACCGGCUAACUCCGUGCCAGCCAGCAGCCGCGGUAAUA
rnacentral:rRNA from 1 species